rnacentral:rRNA from 1 species
UACACACCGCCCGUCACGUCAUGAAAGUUGGCAACACCUGAAGCCGUUGGGCUAACCGCAAGGAGGCAGGCGUCGAGGGUGGGCCAGCGAUUGGACG